UGUUCUGUGGCGGAGUUGCUUAACGCGCCCUGUCUAGCGAACUUGGGGAGACGUGGGUUCAAAUCCCACCAGAACUA
rfam:Aedes albopictus isolate Foshan contig77782, whole genome shotgun sequence.